UUCCAACCAAGCCAGCGAAAAUGAUCAAAACGUUGAUCUUGAUUGGCACUUUGGCCAUGGCUGCUGCCUCUUCUAGUCACGCAAAACAAGAUCCAUCAUGUAUGGAAGCUGAAAAUGUGACCUUGUGCGAGGCUGAUCUCCCAAUCUGCAAGC
rnacentral:lncRNA from 1 species